UGGGGGGGAGUGUCGGUGAUGGCUGAAAUUUGGAUGUGAUGAGGUCUGAGAGGUGCAGCUUAGCCCUGAAGGCCCACUGGUGUGGGGUUAACUCUUGCUGCUCUGAGUUGAUAGAGCUCAUUCCCAACGUGGGUUUGGUGCCAACCAGGAUUUUCCAAUGCUGAGCCACGUCUGGCAGUUGGCAUUGACAGACAGGAAUUGGGGGGUUGGAUGCAGCAAACCUCAUUUUGAGGGUGAGAUAAUUGAACACACUGACCCAGGCACUCUGGGUGAUGUGAUGGACAACACCAGCCUUCAUUUUAUGGUUCUGCCUUGCUGAUCCACACUUUCUGUGGUGCUUGGGUCUAAAAAAGAGGCUAAAAAACAGUGCAAGAGACCUUCAAUUUUUAGAUUACGGAUCUUUUGGAGAAACUUGGAGAUGGCUCAUAGCAGAGCAACAUCACUAAAAUAAUGAGGAUUUAUUCACAAGACCUGUUGUGUUUUUAAAUCCCAGACCUUUGGUUCAGACUGAACUAUACGUAAUAUUUAUUUGCUAUUGCUUGUCCCAGAGCUGUUCUGAACUGGAGGGAGCAAUUUUAGCAUGGUGAUCAUUCUGGUUGUGCUUAGAUAUUAGUGCUACAGUUCCUAAUCUCGUGAUUCCCCUCUGCUCAUCUGAAAUGGCUUGGACUUUUCUGGAGUCAUAGUUUUGCUCCACCUUUCCUAGGGAAACCCACAGCCUGUUUGGAGGGUACAGGAACUGCUGAACCUCUGGAUCCUGGGUAGGAUUUCAGAUUUCACAAGGAACAAUGAGGUAAAACCGGGCAAACUCACACAGGGGAAGAAAAACAUUGCCCUUACAUGGCUGAGGUCAGGGAAGAGCAGUAGGGAAGUACAGCCAUGAAAACUCAUCAAAUUUAGCCCUACACAGCUUGACUGAGCAGCACAUUGCAAAACUAACUACACUCAAAGAAACGAUCCUCCUAAGGAGCUGAAACCAGAAAAGCCAUUUUCUAUUCCGAACUUCUGUACCUAAGCAUCACCUCAGAAUAUAAAGUAUUGAUUGCAGGGCUUGAGAGCAGUCACAGGGAGAUGAUUGCUGUGAUUUGUAUAGUCAGUUCAGGAACAUGGUGUUCCCCCGAGGCCACCAUUCCAGCUCCUUUAGGUAAUGUCAAGGGAAGUCAUAUUUUUCUUUUGUGUUGUUCAAGAAACAAAAGAAUGUCCUGUGCCCAGUGAGGAGCAUAAGGAGACAAAUACUGCCAGAUGUUCACUGAAGUAUAACCUGCCUUUAAACCAGAUAUUUGAAAACAAGCCUUUAGUUUAACGCUAUCUGCAGUAGAAAGACCUGGCAAAACAUCCAGAGAAAAGCAUUGACCAAACCCUACUGACUCCCCCAAGCUGCUGGUUUGUACCUGUUCCCAGGAUUUCCAGCACUCUAUCACUGAAAUAUCACUGUUAUGUUUGAGAAUAUUUAAGAAACAUUUGAGCUCUACAGCCAAAUCCAAACCCUGUGGCUGCUGCUGGACUUCUGUGCACCACCAUGAGUGUUUGUGUGGGGAGCUGAAGAGAUGUGCUCAACUCAGAAAUAGCUCUAUUCCUUGGAAAGCUGGAGGGCUGAAUCACACUGUGUUGGCUCAGUUUUUAGCAGACAAGCCAUCACAUAUGCCUCCCUGUAGGCGCAGAGUCGUCACUGGCAUCAGGAUUAGCAGCCAGGUUUUUACCUUUGGAAACCAGGGAAUAAUGAUGCAGAAGGCGAAGGCUGAUUGUAAGGAGGCCGCCCAGGGCUGGGGGCUUGGGGAGGUGGGUUGGCAACACUGGGAGCAGGAAGGGUCUGCUCAUGUCCCUGCUUGGCCUGCUCUGCUCCCUCUGUUCAAAAGGAGCCAGCUAACGUGCCCCCAAAUUGAACUUUGGGGACUGAAUAAGUUAUUUUGCUCAGAGGCAUUAACCACUCCACUGCUGCCUGUGAAGCUGAGACAAGUAGAGCCAGCCCUAAGCAUAUCCACGGCUGAUGUUGUCCUGAGUCCACUGAAAAUACGAGUGACAAACAGUGGAGGAAUAGGAACACUGGAGAAAAAUGUGGAAAGCUGGGAGGGGACAAGACAGCUCCUGAGCUGAGGCCCCUGAACCUGAAAGCACCAGAGAGACACCACUGGCUUGACAGACACUGGGGAACUUAGAGAGCCUGCAGAGUCCACCUGCUAACGAGCACAGAAAUGCAAAUAUACACAGACACUUUUUUUUUUCUGGAACAGAGUGUAUCUCCUUAAACACACGCCACUGCUGAUUCCCAGCAGUCCAGAGGAAGUCUUGGGGGAAAAGGGGAUGAGGGAACUAGUGCAAAGUUUUUGAAGUCUUGGAGGAAAGGUGGAUGAGGGAACUAAUGCAAAGUUUUUGCAGUUAGCACUAGAAGCAAAUUACAGAUAUGGAUUUUAAAAUGCUUCAGAGACACGGGAUUUUUUUUGGAGCUACAGUUUUGGACUCAGUAGUCCACUACUGCAGUAAUGCUAAUUAUCAAGCCUCCCGUUCAAGUUCAGGAUUCAAGCACUGCCACAGAUGCAAGAAAAGUGGAUUGGGAGUUCCUGAACCAACUGGUUGCUGACCAUGAGUCAGGGGAAUGACCUUGCAGCAGGCAGCUCGCUGUGCCGCUCUCGGAGCCGUGCCAGUAUAAACGGCGCUGGCAUCUCUGAGUGCUGGUGGAACCAUUUUGUGAGAUUGAGAUUCCCACUUGGCCUUUCCUGCUGCUGCCUUUGCACUGAAACGUUUGGGUGGGUGAGAAUGGGCCAGAGUGGUCCCUUCUCAUUUUUGUGACGAGGGCAUCUUCACAACCUGGGCUUGGGACCGUCUGUAUCUAUAGGCAGAUGUAUAGAGGAUAUGGACAACCAUCUCUUGCCUACGUACUUGUCCAUUAACAUCAGCAUUACAGAUAUUUACCAAAUUAAAUCUUACCCUCCCCCACAGCCACACCCAUAUUAAACUGUAAGAAAACACCGUGAUUAAGUUUUAAAAAACAUACACAGAACCACUGAAUUUUCUGGAUGUGAUUUGUAAGAGGAGCAAGGGUAGAAUACUUGGCAUUUGGUCAUUUUAAUUAAUCUUCCCAAAUAAGAAAAACAUUUGCUUGUAGACUUUAAGCUUCUCACAGCAUCAGGAAAGCUCCUGACACCGAGCCCAACGCUGUAUUUGUAUAACAUGGAAAUGAACAGCAGCAGCAGCAGCAGCAGAGCUGCAGGCUCCGAGUCUACUCUGCGAGCAACAAAAUGGCCAGGGGUGCUGUUGUGUUCAUCCGAAUUCCUUCGCCAUUUGGGGCUGUGAAAUAGGUGGAUCCAGUACCCCUGACUCUUCAGGUAUGGUUUGAACCUCUAACAGCAAUACUAAAUUAAUGUUUCUAACCAUAUUCAAGCUUGUGCCCUCAUCAGCCCGACUCCCUAAAGCACAGGCAGGAACCAACAGCAAAAUUCGUCUGCGUCACAGAUGUAACAUGACCAUCGGCAAAACAAGUGCAGGGGGGAGAUCGUGGCUGUCUCGUCACUCACAGAGCCUUCCUCCACUAGCAAAGAAUAGGGUGGUGAUGCUUUUAGGUUUAUAUCGUGAGCAUUUGCAAUCCUGAACUUCCUCGCCCGAAUUUUGCGGCCCUUGGAACGGUCAGAACGCCCGAGAAAAUCGCGUGUGUUUUGUCAGCGAGGGCCGGCGCGUUAACGAACGCUGCGUCAGUGCUGCACCAGGGCCCAGACACGGAGCAAACCCCACUGCCCAGAGCAAGGAAACCCAGACUCGGAAAAAUGAAUCAGCUUUACACAACGGCACACGCACAAGUGUCAGAGGGAGGAAGAAAUCACAGCUUUCCCAAGUCCUUUUGAGGCAAUAUGCAGAAAAUGAUUAUGGAACAGUUAAACCACGUACAGCUCGCAGUGACGGUGCCACCCCUGUGCACACAAUCGCUGCUGUCCUACAGAAAUAUGCCAUGUCCCCUUCUUAGCCUUGUUUCUUGCCAGUCCCACAGAUUUACCUGCUGACAGUAACCUCAAUUCCUGAGUAAUGAGAUUUACAGCUGAAGUUUAACAUUGAAAUAACUCCUCGUUUAUCUGUGUCUCCUUACCCUUCCCUGUGUUCAGUCUCAGUUAAACUAAUUGUGGCAAAAAGAUGGUGGCAAAGGGAAUUAAAUCAGAUACAUCCUUGCAACUGAACACUGAACCAGCUGCCCCUGGCACCUCCUUUAAAGCACUGAGAAAUGUCAUGAAGCAGCACUAGCUUUACAAAUUACGGGGUCCUCCACCCCACAACUGUGACGGGAAAACCACAAAGAGUUGUCCAUGCAGCCAACGCUCAGGAAAAGAGACUCAACCCACCCGUCUUCCACACAACCGAGCAAUCGGGGCUUAGUCCAGCUCCCGGCUGUACAGAAUUCCCUCCACAGCUGCCUCGGACUGUUCCUGCAUGUGUGUGUAUUUAUGCCUGUCUGUCUCGCUGCAGGGACCACCGUCGUCGCUGCUAUUCCUGUUGUUCCCCUGCUCUGCGGAUCUGGCGCUGCAGGAGGCAAGGAUGCUCCAAGGGAGCCAGCUACAGCCAGCGAAGGCUCAGUGAGUCAGGAGGGGUUGUGACGACUGCAGCAAGAGUCUGAAAUUCCCUAUGGAAUCUGGCAGAAGAGGAGGGGAAGGAAGAAAGGUGGAGAUGGGAAAGAGGGGAAGAAAAGUGGGGAGUGGCACGUACUGCCUGUCCUGUUCUUCCCUCCCCGUUCCUACCACCGCAGUGCCGUUGGAAAUGGCGUCCUCCCCUCCGCGGAACUGCGCAAACGGACGGAAUCCACGAGAAAACCGCAGCGCCUGCGGCCUGUGCCACCAAACCCCCAAAACUCGGUCGGGGUGAGGGUAUGGUGCAAGUGGAGCCCUUCUCUCUUUCCCUCAGAGCACCGUGCAGGGGACAGGCUACAGCUGAAGUGAUGGAGACGGCGGACGCGCUGUGUCUGAGCCGGUUCCAAGCCCAGCGGUUGUUGCUAAACAACCAGCCCUGACGCUUGAGAUGUCAACGAGUGCAAUUCCUGCCCCAAGCCAUUACAGUCCUGCUAACACUCAACCACCGUAUAAGGGAGAAGAAGGCAAGGAGAAAAGCCCUGAAGCCCAGCGCUUUCCCCUCCACCGUGGGUUGCAGCUCUGACACGUCAUCAUCGCGACCGGACGGCGGAACGACACCUCAGGGAGCACCCCUGGAUGUGAGGGCUGGCGCCCACCACCCCGAGGAGUUACCGGCUCCUGUCUGCCCGUGCCCGAGGGACACCUGGAAUCCCGGGAUAUGAGCUGGUGUGGAAGCGUCUGGAAGGCACCGUCUACCUGUCCCCCCCAGUGCUUUUAAAAACUGGACGACAUGCCCUGCAAUGAUCACUGCGUCACCGUUUGCCACUUUCCGAACUACGCAGUGACAAACCUCCGAGCUGGGAAUCGCAGGGCGCCUGUUAACCCCUCCACCAAACCCUCGCCAGCAUGCCAGCCCUCAGGGAGACGGGGGAGAAUAAAAAGCCCAAACAAACCAGGCAAACAGCAGUCUUUGCAAAGUUGUCAUCUCUCCCCCACGACUACUACCCUCCUCUGCAGUACAGCAAUGCCGGCAGGAGUGACAUUAGUGCAACCUGUGCCAUCGUUCCAUUGAGAAAACAGCUCUGACGCAGAACAGAGCAACCCUACCCAGCCAAAAUAAUAACACAGGCACUUCGGGACCCGAACUUAGGGACGCCGGGGGAGAGGGACGCCCUGCAAACAAAUAAAAUCCGUGGCUGCAGCUCCAGCCCCAUCCUGAUCAAAGGGUACGUACGUGAGAGAGGCGAACUGGACCGAAGAGCUGUGCCCGUGCACCAUCUGCGCAGUCCUCAGCCCUCCGCUCGCUGUGGAGCGCCGCAGAAUAGAAGGUUCCAGAAAUUUCCUUUCCGUUAACCCUUUCGGUGUCUGCCCACUCUCCCUCCCCGCGGGAUUAAGCGCGCCGGGUCUCCAGCAUCGUCAAUGGGCGAAGCCUCCUACGCCAACCGAGCCCAAGUACGACGUCUAAAUGGCAGUGGAUGGUGGCAGGAGCCCAGCCCGAGGUGUUGGUGAUACUUCUCUUUCUGGAGCCCUCUCUGCCUCUCUUGCUGCCUCUCUCCCCUCUUGCUGCAGCAGGGCUGUUGCUGGUAGACCUAUCGACGGAGCUUGCUCUCUCACUCUCUCGCUGAGCUCUGUGACGCAGCUCUAAAUUCUCCAGCCUGCUCCCUGUGUUAUAAGAGCGGAACUGCAGCUUUCCAGGGAGCCCGUGCCAGCGGUGCCAGGGCCAGGCAGACCGGAGGGAGCGUCGCUCCUGGACUCUGCACCUUUUUUUGGCAAUUAUUCUGUUGCUCACCUCUGUUUCUGUGCUGCCUCCACGGCUCUCAGCCUCGCAUCUCCUUCUCUGCUUCUGAGUCAUACU